rnacentral:lncRNA from 1 species
GCUCAAUGUCUCACUAGACAUUUCAUCCUUUGCCAUCAUAAGCCACGACCAACUCAACUUCGCUGUCGCAGCGAGCUCACACGAACCCUCCGUUCGUGAAUCUAAUCCCAACUCAUCCACAGAGUUAUCGGCUAAACCGAUUACGUGGGCUUCCACAAGUGGACCAACGGUCACCAAUACUACGUAACCCUACCGCCUAAACCUGUCUCAACUACGCGUAGCAUCUCUCGCUCACUAGCAUAGACCCAAAUCAACACUGGGCGAAAUUCU